AGCGAACGCGGUGAACUGAAACAUCUAAGUAACCGCAGGAAGAGAAAGAAAAAUCGAUUUCCUCAGUAGCGGCGAGCGAACGGGAAAUAGCCCAAACCGUCGAGGUUUCCUCGGCGGGGUUGUAGGGCCUCUCACAUGGGAGUCACAAAGCCGACAGGAAGCUGAACCUUCUGGAAAGGAGGGCCAUAGCGGGUGACAGCCCCGUAAGCGAAUCCUGUCGGCCUCCCGAGGGGUACCUGAGUAGGUCGGGUCACGUGGAACCCCGACUGAAUCUACGGGGACCAUCCCGUAAGGCUAAACACAUCCUGAUGACCGAUAGUGAACUCAGUAUGGCGACUGAAAGAUGAGAAGAACCCCUGUUAGGGGAGGUAUGUGAACCUGAAACCAUACGCUUACAAGCGGUCGGAGCUUCUUUGUGAAGUGACGGC
rnacentral:rRNA from 1 species